CCAGCAGGCCACCUUAUCGCUGCAAGCUUGGGUAACCAAGGUUGAAGAGGAAAGUCCGGACACCGUAGUGCGGCAUAGCGGGUAACGCCCGUCCGCCGAAAGGCGAGGACCAGUGCAACAGAAAGCAAGUACAGUUAUGCUGUAGUGAAAUCAGGUAAACUCUAUGCGGUGAAACGUCAUGUAAACCAGUGUUUGAGGGCUGCACGCCCGAGCUGGAGGGUAGGCGGUUGGAGCCAUUGGGUGACCGAUGGCCUAGAUAAAUGAUAAGGGUAUACAGAAUCCGGCUUAUGGCCUGCUUUUAUU
rnacentral:RNase_P_RNA from 1 species